UACGGAGGGGGCUAGCGUUGUCCGGAAUUACUGGGCGUAAAGCGUGCGUAGUCGGUUAUUUAAGUCGGGUGUGAAAGCCCCGGGCUCAACCUGGGAAUUGCAUUCGAUACUGGAUAGCUAGAGUUCGGCAGAGGGAAGCGGAAUUUCCGGUGUAGCGGUGAAAUGCGUAGAUAUCGGAAGGAACAUCAGUGGCGAAAGCGGCUUCCUGGACCAGAACUGACGAUCAGGCACGAAAGCGUGGGGAGCAAACAGG
rnacentral:rRNA from 1 species